GGUGGUGGAACAACCUGUGGACACGUACACCGGAUGUAUUGAGGCCAUCGGAUUUGAUGACGAAAUCCCAAUGGUCAUGGUUAACGACCAGCUGCUUCAGUGCGACCGUCAGACAAUUGAAGCAAUGUUUCCUGACAAAGAAAUCCCAAGAGGCGAUGUUUUGAUGUCCAUGUUUUGAUGUCCAUGCAAGAUGCAAGACCACCCACAGUUGGUGAAAACCUACACUUUUUUCACUUUGGAGAAAUUUCAAGAAGGGUAAAUAUGGAUAUUUUAAGGAAGCAAAUGUUGUACUGAAGCGACACCCCCAGGAAAUAACCACUAUAAGAAUGAACGAUAAGUUUGAAGAUUUCACAAGCAGUUACAAAAUGGGAACGGACAUGUCAAAAGCAGAAGAUGGGAUCUACAAGUUCACACAAAGGACGAAAAUAUUGACGUGUGCACCCUUUGAUUUUGACGAGGAAAUGCUGCGUGAAUUUCGCAACCCAACCUUGACAAACCUGGAUGAACUACCGAUCGGAUCUAGGGUUUCAGUCCAAGGACGAGUAGUUGGGGUCUCAGAACACAGCACUGUCCUGUUGAAGACAAUUACCCUAUCACAAGACACGACAACCACACAGUUGAAACUGUGGGGAAGUCACGCAAACACCGAGGUGACAGAGAAUGAUGUGAUCAAGGUACAAUGUUGUACCCUGAAAGAAUUCCAGCAAAAACUAGAUCUGAAUUCCUGCAUGAAAACAAAUAUUGUGGUGAGUUAAUUAAUAUCCAGCAUUUGGUUGCUUUAAGACACAACUUCUCAAGACACAUUGUAAAAAAAACCAUGUAAAUCUAUUUAUACUAACAUUGUUUCAAAUAAAAGUCGUCAUUACAUACA